rnacentral:rRNA from 1 species
UACGUAAUGUGAAUUGCAGAAUUCCGUGAAUCAUCGAAUCUUUGAACGCACAUUGCGCCCUCUGGUAUUCCGGGGGGCAUGCCUGUUUGAGCGUCAUUUC